CUGGACUUCCUUCUUCAUGUUGCUGCUCGUGCUUCUUUCUUCACGCACCACCCCCUUUGCUGGAACGUUCUCAUGGGCCACUGCAUGCUCUCUUUCUUUCCAAGCCACCUGCACAAUCCUGGACUUGCAACCCGUCACACCAUUUCUCUUUGCUGGACACCACCCUCUUCAAAGCCUGCUGGAAAAUGCUGGAUGCGUGUUGAACUUGGACGCAUGGUCUCCUUUCUCAAUUGCCGCUAGAGCUCCUGGACGCGUGCUUUUUUCUUUCGCUGCUGUGUUGGCCCCUCAUGUGGAGUGCUGCUGCCCUGGACGUGUGUCUCUCCUUGGAUGUGUGCUGAACCUGCUUGCUGUCCAUUGAAGAGCGAAUGAGCUGCUUCACGUGCACCCCUCAUUCAUCCAGCACACACCACUUUCAUUUGAGUCCACGUGCAACAGCUUCUGCUGGACUGUGCAGGCCGUGCUUCCAGAUUCAUUACCGAGUUCACCUCCUGAUGAAUGAAGGCUCUCCUUUCUUCUCCAAGCACCUCCUUCAUGUGUGCUGGACGCUGCUGCUGGACCGUGAGCGUGGACGUGUGGUGGGCCGUGGUGAAGCUGGAUGCUGCUUGAAGGACGCACAUCUUUCUCCAAGCUGCUGGAUGGGAGCUGCUGGACGUUAACUGGGCCAAACACGUGUGCUGCUCCCUUUUUGCUUUCAAGCCCAAAUGAGCGUGCACCUCCUUGCAGCCUUUGCUGUCCUGACCUCCACCAAAUUAAAGGUGUUGGCUUGCUGGAAGGAAAAGCACGGAGACCUACAAGAAGGAGAGCUCCAAGUUUGCUUGAUUCAAUUGGGCUGAAGUAGCUGCCACGUCCUUGGGGAGUUGUGUGCUUGAUUCAUUAGAAAGAAAGAUGUGCUUCACGGUCUUGCUGCUAGCACAAGCAAAUUGAAGUGGUGUCACGGCCCAUGGGGAAUGCAUUUGGAGCGUCCAAGCGGACUCAAAUGGAAGUGGUGUGUGCAUGGAGAGAAAGGGUGUGACGGGAAGCAGCAUGUGGUGGCAAAGGUAGAAGCAGCAAGCCCGGGAGGCACCACGUGUCCAGCAAGCUAAAAAGCGGGACAGCACGUGAUGGAGAGGGGGGAUUCACUUCUUUAUUUUUAAGGUCACGUGAGUGAUUGAUAGGAGGGAGCCGCCACUUAAGUGGGGUGACGGAGCAGAAGAAAUAUAAACACAUGGGCCCAUGGAUAAUGAAAUGGGGAGCGUCCACCAAGCACAACAGAGAACAGCGGAUUCGGUCCAGUAAGCAAGUCCACCAAGGCCUGGAAGAGCAGCUGCACGCGUAAAAAUGGUGAGGGCCUGAUUUCAUGAAGUUUUUCACGCAUCCAGCAAAAACGGGCAGCAGCCGCCACCCAAGGAAGCACACGAACAUUCUGAUAUGGAGGGUUACGGGUGCUUUUCAUGGAGGAGGCACAUCACAUUUUGAAGAAAGAGGAGUUGGCACAUCAGGAGGGAGUAGCCCCCGAAAGGGUUUUCUUUUAUUGUGUUCAUGCUCGGAUGAGAAUGAAUUUUAUAUUCCAAUUGUUGAAAUACCAAAAGCAUUGAAUGGGCCACCGGUUUUGAAGUAUUUUGCUAUGAAUCAUCAUUUAAGUUUUUCAA